CCUACGGGUGGCUGCAGUCGAGGAUCUUCGGCAAUGGGCGCAAGCCUGACCGAGCGACGCCGCGUGAGGGAUGAAGGCCUUCGGGUUGUAAACCUCUGUCGAGGGGGAGGAAAUCUAUCGGGGCACUCCCUGAUAGUUGACCUAUCCCUGGAGGAAGCUUGGGCUAAGUUCGUGCCAGCAGCCGCGGUAAGACGAACCAAGCAAACGUUGUUCGGAUUCACUGGGCUUAAAGGGCGCGUAGGCGGUCGAUCAAGUCUGGGGUGAAAUCUUUCGGCUCAACCGGAAAAUUGCCUCGGAUACUGAUUGGCUGGAAGGAGGUAGGGGCUGCGGGAACUGCCAGUGGAGCGGUGAAAUGCGUUGAUAUUGGCAGGAACGCCGGUGCCGAAAGGGCGCAGCUGGACCUUUCUUGACGCUGAGGCGCGAAAGCUAGGGUAGCGAAC
rnacentral:rRNA from 1 species